UCAGUACGAGGUUGUGGCGGACUGCCG
rnacentral:sRNA from 1 species